CAGGCCCUGGAGCUGCACCCACAGAUGCAGCAGGGCAGUGGGCUCCUGUCUAGGCACCUCAGCUGGGCUGAGGGGGUGUCAGUGCCAAGCAGGCCACACCGGAGCUCCUGGUGGCACGCAGGCCAUGCCACAGCUCCUGGUGCCACGCAGGACAUGCCACAGCUCCUGGUGCCACGCAGGACAUGCCACAGCUCCUGGUGCCACGCAGGCCAUGCUGGAGCUCCUGGUGGCACGCAGGCCAUGCCAGAGCUCCUGGUGCCACGCAGGCCAUGCUGGAGCUCCUGGUGGCACGCAGGCCAUGCCAGAGCUCCUGGUGCCACCAGGACACCCAGGUGCCACAGUGGGGCCUGGUGCUUUGGCCCUAUGAGCCAUACGGCUGCCAUGCACCAAGGCAUGGGCAGACAGAGCUCAAAAGCAAAUGAAGGAAAUAACGGAAAUUCGAAUUAUUAAGUGAAAAAAAAAAAACCCAAACCCUCAAACCAUUACAAUAUUCUUACUGCUGUGUGUGGGGCUGCUCUGGAGCUGCCUCUGCUUCGCCUUGGGAAGGGGUGAGUGCUACAACCGGGCCCUCAGAGAAAGAGCGGGAACGCUGAGGGACUCCCUCAGCUCUCCCUGUCUCCUCGCUUUGCGCAGCCCUGGCUUCUCUGGGCUCCCACCAUGCUGCUGCCUUCUGGAUCAUGACAGGUCCUUCCAUUUCAAGUCAACUUCAUUUCAGAUGAGAAGGAAAGUGUUGCUGUGAGUGGCAAGAUGAGACUUUACUACCAGCAGAAAUCCAAGGGAGGAAGACCUAAAUAUUAGAGAAGUGAUAAGGAUGUCAAACUGUGAAAAAUGUGACAGUACCAUUCCUACUGCUGAGAAGGAGCAGGUUCCAAAGAAGGCAGGUGAGUGAGGGCUUGUGACAGAUGGAGAAAAGAAAGGCUUAUUUAGUGUGAGGCUGGCUGUUUUCCUAUGGUUAAAACUGAAGAAAGAACACCCGGAAAAACUCUUGAA